GCCGACUUGCGGAGCCCGCCCCGAAUCUGGAAGCUGGUUAACGGGGCGGGGCCAAUUGCAGGGAUUGGGAGUCCUCUCUUUAGUCCAUUCAGCCCUUUAGUGCUAGGCGAUGCUUCCUUUAAAGGAGAGCCAGACCCCGAUACACCAUUCCAUAGCUCCUGCUGCCCGCCAUCCUUCUCCUCCCAUGGGCUCUCCCUCCAAACUGUUUAAAUGAGUUACCUCUAAGCCCCUUUCUGUGAGGGGCCUGCACCUUGGCCUUCCUGUUGGUCGUAGCUGAGCUUCAUUCUAGCAAGAAUCCUUCUUGCCCUCUGGUCAUUCUUGAUAUUCUAAUACUUAAUAUCUGAACCCUCC
rnacentral:lncRNA from 1 species